GGGUCAGUAGGUUGGUCGUGCCACCGGUACGUACUGGUCUCACUGAUUCCUCCUUCCUGAAGAACCGUAAUGCCAUUAAUUUGGUGUUGCGUGGAGACAGGACUGUUACUUUGAAAAAAUUAGAGUGUUUAAAGCAAGCUAACGCUUGAAUACAUUAGCAUGGAAUAAUGAAAUAGGACGAUCGAUCCUAUUUUGUUGGUUUCUAGGAUUGACGUA
rnacentral:rRNA from 1 species